rnacentral:rRNA from 1 species
GAUGAACGCUGGCGGCGUGCCUAAUACAUGCAAGUCGAGCGAACAGACGAGGAGCUUGCUCCUCUGACGUUAGCGGCGGACGGGUGAGUAACACGUGGAUAACCUACCUAUAAGACUGGGAUAACUUCGGGAAACCGGAGCUAAUACCGGAUAAUAUAUUGAACCGCAUUGUUCAAUAGUUAAAGACGGUUUUGCUGUCACUUAUAGAUUGAUCCGCGCCGCAUUAGCUAGUUGGUAAGGUAACGGCUUACCAAGGCAACGAUUCGUAGCCGACCUGAGAGGGUGAUCGGCCACACGGGAACUGAGACAGGGCACAGACACCUACGGGAGGAAGCAGUAGGGAAUCUUCCGCAAGGGGCGAAAGCUUGACGGAGCAAAGCCGCGUGAGGGAUGAAGGUCUUCGGAUCGUAAAACUCUGUUAUUAGGGAAGAACAAAUGUGUAAGUAACUAUGCACGUCUUGACGGUACCUAAUCAGAAAGCCACGGCUAACUACGUG